GGUAUAGUUCAGUGGUAGAAUGCGUGCCUAGUAUGCAUGAAGUCCGGGGUUCAAUCCCCCAGUACC
rnacentral:tRNA from 1 species